rnacentral:rRNA from 1 species
UGGGUGACCUGCCCUCAGCUCUGGGAUAAGCCUGGGAAACUGGGUCUAAUACCGGAUAGGACCUCCUUCCGCAUGGUGGGUGGUGGAAAGUUUUUCGGCUGGGGAUGGGCCCGCGGCCUAUCAGCUUGUUGGUGGGGUGAUGGCCUACCAAGGCGACGACGGGUAGCCGGCCUGAGAGGGCGACCGGCCACACUGGGACUGAGACACGGCCCAGACUCCUACGGGAGGCAGCAGUGGGGAAUAUUGCGCAAUGGGCGGAAGCCUGACGCAGCGACGCCGCGUGGGGGAUGACGGCCUUCGGGUUGUAAACCUCUUUCGACCGGGACGAAGGGUUUCUGACGGUACCGGUAGAAGAAGCACCGGCCAACUACGUGCCAGCAGCCGCGGUAAUACGUAGGGUGCGAGCGUUGUCCGGAAUUAUUGGGCGUAAAGAGCUCGUAGGCGGUGUGUCACGUCGGUCGUGAAAACUUGGGGCUUAACCCUGAGCUUGCGGUCGAUACGGGCAUCACUUGAGUUCGGCAGGGGAGACUGGAAUUCCUGGUGUAGCGGUGAAAUGCGCAGAUAUCAGGAGGAACACCGGUGGCGAAGGCGGGUCUCUGGGCCGAUACUGACGCUGAGGAGCGAAAGCGUGGGGAGCGAACAGGAUUAGAUACCCUGGUAGUCCACGCCGUAAACGGUGGGCACUAGGUGUG